rnacentral:lncRNA from 1 species
AGUGCGGAGAGACACAGCGGAGAUAGCGCGCCUGCUAAAGGCUGCCGCCGCCAACACCUUAGGCUGGCUGCUCUAAGUUGAUCUGGUGCCUUGGUCACUCGUGGCUUCUUUCUUCUAUGCCAGCUCUGUCUUCUCUACACUUCCUCUGGAGGAGUAGGCCUUGACACAAUUACAAGAAGUCAGGGACCCUGAACAGAGGGACCAGCUGAAGUCACAGCAGAAGAACAUAAAUUGUGAAGAUUUCAUGGACAUUUAUUAGUUCCCCAAAUUAAUACUUUUAUAAUUUCUUAUGCCUGUCUUUACUGCAAUCUCUGAACAUAAAUUGUGAAGAUUUCAUGGACAUUUAUCACUUCCCCAAUCAAUACUCUUAUAAUUUCCUAUGCCUGUCUUUAAUCUCUUAAUCCCAUCAUCUUCCUAAACUGAGGAUGUAUGUCGCCUCAGGACCCUGUGAUGAUUGCAUUAUCUGCACAAGUUGUUUGUAAAGCGUGUGUGUUUGAACAAUAUGAAAUCUGGGCACCUUGAAAGGAACAGGAUAACAGUGAUUUUCAGAGAACAAGGGAGAUAACCAUAAGGUCUGACUGCCUGCAGGACCGGGCAGAACAGAGUCGUAUUUCUCUUCUUACAGAAAGCGAAUAGGAGAAAUAUUGCGAAUUCUUUUCUCAGCAAGGAAUAGCCCUGGGAAAGGAAAGCAUUCCCAGGGGGAGGUCUCUAAAAUGGCUGCUCUGGGAGUGUCUGUCUUAUGUGGUUGAAGAUAAGGGAUGAAAUACACCCUGGUCUCCUGCAGCGCCCUCAGGCUUGCUAGGAUUAGGAAAUUCCAGCCUGGCGAAUUCUAAUCAGACCAGUUGUCUGCUCUCGAACCCUAUUUCCUGCUAAGAUGUUUAUCAAGACAAUGCGUGCCCAGUGGGACAUGGAACCUCAUCAGUAAUUCUAAUUUCACCCUGGCCCUGUGAUCUCGCUCUGCCCUUCUGCGCUUGUAAUCUUUUAUUGCCUCUUGAAGCAUGUGAUCUGUGUGAUUUACUCCCUGUUCAUACCCCCUUCCCCUUUUCAAAUCCCUAAUAAAAACUUGUUGGUUUUGCGGCUCAAGGGGCAUCACGGAACCUGCCGACAUGUGAUGUCACCCCUGGAGGCCCAGAUGUAGAAUUUC